UACGUAGGUGGCAAGCGUUGUCCGGAUUUACUGGGCGUAAAGAGCGCGCAGGCGGUCGAAUAAGUCGAAUGUGAAAGCCCCGGCUUAACUGGGGGAGGGUCAUUCGAUACUGCUCGACUUGAAGGCAGGAGAGGGUAGUGGAAUUCCCGGUGUAGUGGUGAAAUGCGUAGAUAUCGGGAGGAACACCAGUGGCGAAGGCGACUACCUGGCCUGUUCUUGACGCUGAGGCGCGAAAGCUGGGGGAGCAAACGGGG
rnacentral:rRNA from 1 species